rnacentral:pre_miRNA from 1 species
CUUUCGAACGGAACACGAAGUCUGUGAUAUUCUUCAUUUUAUAAGUUAACUAAUGAAGAGUCAUUGGCUUGGUUUUUCGUUCAACAC